rnacentral:rRNA from 1 species
GACGAACGCUGGCGGCGUGCUUAACACAUGCAAGUCGAACGAAGUGGCGAACGGGUGAGUAAUACGUGAGUAACUGCCCUCCUCUUUGGGAUAAGCCUUGGAAACGGGGUCUAAUACCGUAUACAGGGGGAUGGGCUAGCGGCCUAUCAGCUUGUUGGUGGGGUGAUGGCCUACCAAGGCGGUGACGGGUAGCCGGCCUGAGAGCGGACCGGCCACAGUGGGCUGUGGUAACGUCCAUAGUCCUACGGGAGGCAGCAGUCGGGAAUAUAGCGCAAUGGGGGAAGCCCUGAUGCAGCAACGCCGCGUGCGGGAUGACGGCCUUCGGGUUGUAAACCGCGUUCAGCCAUGACGCGGUAGUGGCAGAAGAAGCACCGGCUAACUACGUGCCAGCCGCCGCGGUAAUAC